GUAGGUGGCGAGCGUUGUCCGGGAAUUAUUGGGCGUAAAGCGCGCGCAGGCGGUUCGUUUAAGUCUGAUGUGAAAGCCCACGGGCACAACCGUGGAGGGUCAUUGGAAACUGGAGAACUUGAGUACAGAAGAGGAAAGCGGAAUUCCACGUGUAGCGGUGAAAUGCGUAGAGAUGUGGAGGAACACCAGUGGCGAAGGCGGCUUUCUGGUCUGUAACUGACGCUGAGGCGCGAAAGCGUGGGGAGCAAACAGGAUUAGAUACCCUGGUAGUCCACGCCGUAAACGAUGAGUGCUAAGGUGGUUUACGGGGGUUUCCCGCCCCUUAGUGCUGCAGCUAACGCAUUAAGCACUCCGCCGUGGGGAGUACGGCCGCAAGGCUG
rnacentral:rRNA from 1 species